rnacentral:rRNA from 1 species
UACGUAGGCAGCGAGCGUUGUUCGGAGUUACUGGGCGUAAAGGGUGUGUAGGCGGUUGUCUAAGUUUGGUGUGAAAUCUCCCCUCAACUGGGAGGGUGCGCCGAAUACUGAAUGACUAGAGUGCGGGAGAGGAAAGUGGAAUUCCUGGUGUAGCGGUGAAAUGCGUAGAUAUCAGGAGGAACACCGGUGGUGUAGACGGCUUUCUGGACCGUAACUGACGCUGAGACACGAAAGCGUGGGUAGCAAACAGG